AGCAGCAUGGCGCAGUGGUAGCGCGCGGGGCCCAUAUUAUAGUUUAUGAUUGUCCACCCCGAGGUCACUUGAUCGAAACAAGUUGCUGCUA